rnacentral:lncRNA from 1 species
CGGCAUCCCUUCCCAUCUGUGGCCCAGAGGCCUAGGAGAAAAGAAUAAUUUGGAAGGCCAGACUGAGGGCCCUGCUGCCCUGUGCAGCCUUGGGCCAUUGAUCCCUGCAUUGAGGCUAUGCUGGCUCCAGCCUCAGUUCAAAGUGUCCCAGAAACAUCUCUGGCCACUGCUCUGAAAGGCACAAACUGUAAACAUUGGCCGCUUCCAUGUUUUGUUAAGCCUGAAGGCACACAGAAUGCAAGAUUGGCAGCUCCACCUAGAUUUCAGAGGAUGUAUAAGAAAGCCUGGCUGUCCAAGCAGAAUCCUGCCACAGGGCUGGAGCCCUCACAGAGAAUCUCUACUAUGGCAGUGCAGAGGGGAAAUGUGAAGUUGGAGUCCCCAUAGCACUUUCUAAUGGAGCUAUGGGAAGGGGAUGCCACCUUCCAGACCCAAGAAUGGUAGAGUCACUGGCAGCUUGCAACCUAAACAUGGAAAAUCUGCAGGCACUCAAGUCCAACCCAUGACAGCAGCCACGGGGAUUGUACCCUGUAAAGCCAAAGAAGUGGACCUGUUCAAGCCUUGGGAGCCCACCCUUUUCACCAGUGUGUCCUGGAUGUGGGACAUGGAGUCAAAGGAGAUUAUUUUGGAGCUUUAGAGUUUAAUGGCUGCUGUGCUGAGUUUCAGACUUGCAUGGGGCCUGUUUGAUGCUUUCUUUUGGGUGACUCCUCCCUUUUGGAAUAGAAACAUUUGCCCAAUGCCUGUACCACCAUCUUAUCUUGUCGUAAUACCAGCAUUUUUAAUAUUACCGCUGGAAGGCUUAGAAGUGUGUCUUUGCAAUGACAAAAUACAUUGAGAAGCAAUUUACAUCCUAAAUAAUUGUGGCUGAAUGAAAAUGGAGAUUGACAAAAAGAUCUUAUCAGUUUUUCUGUUUUGGAAGUUGAGGAAGACGUGUUAUAUUCCUAUAUUAGAAGAUCUAUUUAUGCUGAUUAAUAUGAGCCAGAAGAGAAAAGGGAUGGAUGAUGCAGAAGACACAUAGAGAUCUGAUAAAGUGAAAAUUCUUACAGUGGCAAAAAGAUGGGUUUCAGUAUGCUUUUGUACAUUAGGGAACUCAUUUUCCUCUGGGUGGUUAAAAGAUUGCCAAGGAGAAUUUUAGCAUCGACAGUUUUAAAGGAAUCAAUUUUCAGCAACUCAAUUUUCAUGUGAACUUUUCUAAAGCGAUGUCGCUGAAAAAUUUAUCUAUACUCAGGAUACACUUUUUUGUUCCCAAAAGAAUGGCAUCAUUCAAAAUCUUAAUGUAGUGCAUUAUCCUGUGGUGGAUUACUUCUGGAGUAACAAAUAGCAAGGCUAUCUAACGAUAAUUCAAUAUUUCAGUCUAAAGUUUCUCAUUCUUCAUGUUCCAUCUACAUUUCUCUCUCUCUCUCUUUCUCUGUCUGUCUAUCUAUCUAUCUAUCUAUCUAUCUAUCUAUCUAUCUAAUCUAUCUAUCUACCAAUCUAUCUACCUUUCUAUCUAUCAUCUAUCUGAUCUAUCUCUAGUAAAGUGAAGCCUGGCAUUUAGAAAAGUGGCGUAUUCAUCCAUGUUGAGGUGUUGUGAGUUAAGAUAUAGGUAGGAAUAAAAUGGAAAACACUUUCCUUAAAUAUAUUUUAUAUUCUCCUACUAUUGAUUCCUUUACAACUAUUUCAAUUUAAGAAGAAAAAUGUCAGAUAGUGUGAUAUGAAUCAUGUUUGAGAAAUAUUUCCUUGAGAGUUUGACUAGUGCAACAAAAAAUAUCUGUAAGGGACAAUGAAUGUUAAAAAUGGUUUUAUUCCUGUGCUCGAGCAAAACCUACUCUUUUUAUGUAUUCUCAAUUUUCAGCCCUAGAAUGUGUUAUUAACUUGAAAGAAAAACUCUCCCAAAGAUCUAAAAGUUAUGCUGAUUUUUUAGAAAUAACUAAAGGUUUUCAAGACUACCAAAAUUUCAAGCUACAUGGGACAAUUACCAAUGUAUGGUGUGUGAGGGGAAGACUGUAGUAAGUUUAGAUGUCACUGAAUAUUUUUCACUAAGGGAUUUAAAGCAUUUUAUACUAUACAAAACAAUAAAAUGUCUAUUUUAUUUUCAGUGAAUUUAUUUUUCUUGGAAAAAUAUUUAUUAAAUUCUACCUCAUUAAGAAACAAAUAUCACAAGCAUUUAUAGAUUAACAGUAUAUUGAUUUGUUUCCUAACUAAAUAUAUCU